rnacentral:lncRNA from 1 species
AGGGCAUCAUGAUGAGGAGAAGUUACAAGCACAAGUCCAGCCAGACCUUUCAAGUGGCCUCAGAAAAUUUUCAGGCACGGGGAGAAAAGGACUAAAAGCUGCUCCCCGGAGCCAGCCGUGCAGAAGGCUGGAUCUAGUUCAUUUCUAACCUGCCCUGCUGCCCUUUUCCAAUCCUACCCUGCAACAAUUCCAGUCCAAGUUCCCUGCGCAGCCUGUUAUUGGAUUGCUGUGGCCCUGCCACUACUGGGAAGGCAAAGAAAACAGCAUCAUAGUUGGGGAUGUGAAGUCCUGAAUGUCCACGUCCUUUCCAGGAAAUGCUUUUCACUUCUUUUACAUCUAUUUCUAAGUGUCCACUUGCUGUUUCAGGCCCUGGUCUUCUCCUGGGAUGGCACAGUGUCCCUGAUGAACACUGCCACAUCGCACAUUGUUUACUGCUUCAGUAUUCCACCUUCUCAUGCUGUAGCAUGCCCCUGGCAGCCAGUAUUCACAGUGGAUAGUGUGAACUGGUGCUUGCUGCUUCGAGGAGAUAAGCAGCAGCAGGCAGAUAUGUUGGCAGAAAGCAGAGCCAGUCACAGCACCAUCUUCCUUUUUGACUUCAGCUCCUACCCACUCGAGGAGGCUUUCCCAAAGGAACCAGAUUUGCCUCUCAAAUCCUUGCAGAACCUGCGGUGGAUUGAGAGAUGUAAUAUUUUCUUACGUGAUAGGCAGCAGAGCCUGCUGGGACUCAGGGACCAGUUGCCUGAGUACUGGAGUCGGCUGCGGGCACAAGCAGCUGCCAUGGACGAGGAGACACAGAAAGUGGAGGGGCAGAAGAAGCCAUAGUCAGCCUUGCAUCCUGAGGGCCAGGCUCUGCACUAUCACAGUCCUGCAGACCCAUGAUCCGCACUGAUAAUUUUGACAGCAACUCUAUUCAAAUCUGUCCUGCUGCUUUCCAGCCUGGGGCAAUUUGUCAUCCAAAAUAGCUGCUUGCCUGCCACUGCUCAGCC